rnacentral:rRNA from 1 species
ACGCUGGCGGCAGGCCUAACACAUGCAAGUCGAGCGGUAGCACGGGAGAGCUUGCUCUCUGGGUGACGAGCGGCGGACGGGUGAGUAAUGUCUGGGAAACUGCCUGAUGGAGGGGGAUAACUACUGGAAACGGUAGCUAAUACCGCAUGACCUCGCAAGAGCAAAGUGGGGGACCUUCGGGCCUCACGCCAUCGGAUGUGCCCAGAUGGGAUUAGCUAGUAGGUGGGGUAAUGGCUCACCUAGGCGACGAUCCCUAGCUGGUCUGAGAGGAUGACCAGCCACACUGGAACUGAGACACGGUCCAGACUCCUACGGGAGGCAGCAGUGGGGAAUAUUGCACAAUGGGCGCAAGCCUGAUGCAGCCAUGCCGCGUGUGUGAAGAAGGCCUUAGGGUUGUAAAGCACUUUCAGCGAGGAGGAAGGCGUUGUAGUUAAUAGCUGCAGCGAUUGACGUUACUCGCAGAAGAAGCACCGGCUAACUCCGUGCCAGCAGCCGCGGUAAUACGGAGGGUGCAAGCGUUAAUCGGAAUUACUGGGCGUAAAGCGCACGCAGGCGGUUUGUUAAGUCAGAUGUGAAAUCCCCGAGCUUAACUUGGGAACUGCAUUUGAAACUGGCAAGCUAGAGUCUUGUAGAGGGGGGUAGAAUUCCAGGUGUAGCGGUGAAAUGCGUAGAGAUCUGGAGGAAUACCGGUGGCGAAGGCGGCCCCCUGGACAAAGACUGACGCUCAGGUGCGAAAGCGUGGGGAGCAAAC